GAAAUGCGAUAAGUAGUGUGAAUUGCAGAAUUCAGUGAAUCAUCGAAUCUUUGAACGCACAUUGCGCCCCUUGGUAUUCCAUGGGGCAUGCCUGUUCGAGCGUCAUUUGUACCCUCAAGCUUUGCUUGGUGUUGGGCGUUUGUCUUGCGAGACUCGCCUUAAAACGAUUGGCAGCCGGCCUACGUGGUUUCGGAGCGCAGCACAAAUUGCACUCUGUCCGUGAAGGUCGGCAUCCAUGAAGCCCCCAUUUUUCACUUUUGACCUCGGAUCAGGUAGGGAUACCCGCUGAACUUAA
rnacentral:misc_RNA from 1 species